GUCUAGGUCAUUACAUGUGGUAUCACUCCGUCUGUCUAGGUCAUUACAUGUGGUAUCACUCCGUCUGUCUAGGUCAUUACAUGUGGUAUCACUCCGUCUGUCUAGGUCAUUACAUGUGGUAUCACUCCGUCUGUCUAGGUCGUUACAUGUGGUAUCACUCCGUCUGUCUAGGUCAUUACAUGUGGUAUCACUCCGUCUGUCUAGGUUGUUACAUGUGGUAUCACUCCGUCUGUCUAGGUCAUUACAUGUGGUAUCACUCCGUCUGUCUUGGUCAUUACAUGUGGUAUCACUCCGUCUGUCUAGGUCAUUACAUGUGGUAUCACUCCGUCUGUCUAGGUCGUUACAUGUGGUAUCACUCCGUCUGUCUAGGUCAUUACAUGUGGUAUCACUCCGUCUGUCUAGGUCAUUACAUGUGGUAUCACUCCGUCUGUCUUGGUCAUUACAUGUGGUAUCACUCCGUCUGUCUAGGUCAUUACAUGUGGUAUCACUCCGUCUGUCUAGGUCAUUACAUGUGGUAUCACUCCGUCUGUCUUGGUCAUUACAUGUGGUAUCACUCCGUCUGUCUAGGUCAUUACAUGUGGUAUCACUCCGUCUGUCUAGGUCGUUACAUGUGGUAUCACUCCGUCUGUCUAGGUCAUUACAUGUGGUAUCACUCCGUCUGUCUAGGUCAUUACAUGUGGUAUCACUCCGUCUGUCUAGCUGUCCAGCUCUCAUUCUCCUUCGCUCAUCCCUAUUUUUCUCUCUGGUUUCUGACCAAAGCAUGGCCAGGGAUGAAUUAAUGUGAAUAAGAUCGGGAGCAACCAUCAUUACCCUUUUUGUGAUAUCCCAAGUCCCAGCCACCUACAGAAUUACAAACACACACAAAAACAUACACACUGCACACAUUGGUUAGGCUUAGAA